rnacentral:rRNA from 1 species
AGUCGAGGGGUAGUAUAGCAAUAUAUGAGACCGGCGCACGGGUGCGUAACGCGUAUGCAACCUACCUUUUACAGGGGAAUAGCCCAGAGAAAUUUGGAUUAAUGCCCCAUGGUAUAUUUUAGUGGCAUCACUGGAUUAUUAAAGUUCCAACGGUAAAAGAUGGGCAUGCGUCCUAUUAGCUAGAUGGUAAGGUAACGGCUUACCAUGGCUACGAUAGGUAGGGGUCCUGAGAGGGAGAUCCCCCACACUGGUACUGAGACACGGACCAGACUCCUACGGGAGGCAGCAGUGAGGAAUAUUGGACAAUGGGCGCAAGCCUGAUCCAGCCAUGCCGCGUGCAGGAAGAAGCAUCUAUGGUGUGUAAACUGCUUUUGUACGGGAAGAAACACUCCUACGUGUAGGAGCUUGACGGUACCGUAAGAAUAAGGAUCGGCUAACUCCGUGCCAGCAGCCGCGGUAAUACGGAGGAUCCAAGCGUUAUCCGGAAUCAUUGGGUUUAAAGGGUCCGUAGGCGGUUUGGUAAGUCAGUGGUGAAAGCCCUUCGCUCAACGGAGGAACGGCCAUUGAUACUGCCAGACUUGAAUUACUGGGAAGUAACUAGAAUAUGUAGUGUAGCGGUGAAAUGCUUAGAUAUUACAUGGAAUACCAAUUGCGAAGGCAGGUUACUACCAGUGGAUUGACGCUGAUGGACGAAAGCGUGGGGAGCGAACAGGAUUAGAUACCCUGGUAGUUCACGCCGUANACGAUGGAUACUAGCUGUUGNGAGCAAUCUCAGUGGCUAAGCGAAAGUGAUA